rnacentral:rRNA from 1 species
UCCUACGGGAGGCAGCAGCUAAGAAUCUUCCGCAAUGGGCGCAAGCCUGACGGAGCGACGCCGCGUGAACGAAGAAGGCCGGAAGGUUGUAAAGUUCUUUUACAGGGGAAGAAUAAAGUUUAGAGGUAAUGCUAGACGGAUGACAUGAACCUGAGAAUAAGCCACGGCUAAUUACGUGCCAGCAGCCGCGGUAACACGUAAGUGGCAAGCGUUGUUCGGAAUUAUUGGGCGUAAAGGGCGUGUAGGCGGUUUAGCAAGCCUGGCGUGAAAUGCUCCAGCUCAACUGGAGAGACGCGCUGGGAACGGUUAGACUAGAGUGAUGGAGGGGGAGUUGGAAUUCCUGGUGUAGGGGUGAAAUCUGUAGAUAUCAGGAAGAACACCGGUGGCGAAGGCGAACUCCUGGCCAUAAACUGACGCUAAUGCGCGAAAGCGUGGGGAGCGAACAGGAUUAGAUACCCUGGUAGUCCACGCUGUAAACGAUGUGCACUAGGUGUUGGGGGGAAAACCUCAGUGCCGCAGCAAACGCAUUAAGUGCACCGCCUGGGGAGUAUGCUCGCAAGGGUGAAACUCAAAGGAAU